AUCAGAAUGAUGUAUUUGUGAUUAUAAAUGAUUCUGAUGAAUGAAUAUUUAAACUUAUUUUUAUUAUUUUUUAUCAGCCAUUAUAAAUGCUGAUACCGAUAGAUCGGGAAAUGCCUAAUAUCGGCUCAGUGAUAUAUCGGUUGGGCUCUAGCGCAUACCUUAUUGGGAUUAAAAUCACAGACAACCUCCGGAAUUAUUACAAAUGACUAGAGGUCACUAGGUAAUACUAUAAUAAUAAUCCUGUGCAAAUAGGGCUUUAUUCUGUAGUUAAAACACAGACAUGAGAUGCAUAUCCACUGGAACACAUCAUAAAGAACGGAAAAAAUAUGUCUGAAUAGUCCUUUAAAUCCGAGGCACUACACUCUAACUGCAGAUGGACAUUGAAAUGUUUGACCUGCAGGAAACCUUUAGUAAUUAAUGACACUCACACUAUCAUGCGGAUCAGUUUGAAGUCAAUCUGGAUCUUGUGCCUUAUUCUGAGCAAAGUGACUGAUGUGAUAGGCUGUGCUUCAUAGCUAUUGCACUAAUUAGCAUCAGGACAAGUGGUCUGGCAUAGUUACUAAACAAUGUGGAUGGCUUUGAUCUUGCGAAACAAUUUUCUGCUUAAUUUACAAUGUCAUGCUUCACUGUCAUGGCAAUGAGAUUGGACCAUUAACCAGUGAGUUUCUGUAAAGGGUUUGUGGACAGAGGGAUUUGUUUAAUGACACCGUAGCAGAUAACUUCAUGUCUUCUUCCAAGCAUUUCUCCUUUUUUGAAGAAUAUAUUUUUUACUUUUAUAUGAAAAUUAUAGGUGUUAAACUAAGACCUAAUACAUGUCCAAUAAUCACACUCUGAAAAAAAUUGUCUAUUUUAAUGAAUCACAUUUAGUUUCAAGAUUUUUCUUUUUGAUAAAUUGUAGUUUGAGUUAAAGAUAAUCAAAAUAUGUUGAAGGAAUAAUGAUUUUUGUUGUUUAGUAUUUAGCAGUAUUUUAGCAAUCACUACAUUAACACAGUUUACAUUCAUGAUGUGCCAAGAAACACUUAAUUGUAGGAUAUUAGUUUUUUUUAUUGUAUAAAUGCUAUUUUUGUAUUGUGAUGAAUUAAGCUGUUGUCAUUCUUCAACUCAGGCAUGUCAUAAAUGUCUUAAGACUAUGUGACUAAUAAUACAAUGAUUUUAUUCUCCA